rnacentral:misc_RNA from 1 species
GUUCAGUUGUUAGGCGACACAGGGUCGCAGAGCAUUCGUUUAAAUACUUGGAGUUUAGUGAUGCGGCUUCAGACCGGAGAGCUCUCGCCCUUCGGCCAUCCGCCGUGAAUGUGCACAGGGGGUUUGCAAAGGUUGGACGGGGCCGGGAUCCCGCUGCACGGCCGGUUGGGCCGGAGCAGGGAUCGCCGUCCGCCGCCAGAGAUACGUUAAUGAUCCUUCCGCAGGUUCACCUACGGAAA